UGUGCCUCUACACCACUGAGAAAUUUGAGGGUUUAAGAGAAUACAGAUCAUAUCUAUGUGUAUAUAAAAAAACUAGUUUAAAAUAACAAGUCACUGAAUCAGUGUUACACAACUAAAUUGUAAGCAAGCAGUAAACAUAUGUACAUAACUGAAGGUCCCAUGGAUAAAAAGCUGCUGUCUCCUGCCCUAUGCUAACAGUUUACAUGCAGGCUCUCCUCAAUGACUACUGUCGUGCAUUACUGCAGAGUAAGAGCCUGCAUCUGGGCAGUCACUACAGAGCAAUUAUGCAGGGCCACUGCCAUCUGCAGCCAAUUCGACAGAUGAACUUCAAACAGCCCUUCUGCUGCCAGAGCAGGUCCCUGUAUGCAAGAAGACAGGAGAGCAGGAGUCAGAGCUCCAGGAAAAGAUUCUACUGCCACCUAUUCUAUCACAUUCUCAGCAAGAUGAGAACUUCAUGUCCAUUUAACAUCAACCACUGAACUGAUUUUGCAGGACAUUAUGACCACAAAAAGCAAAUAAAUGGUAUC